ACUGCACUACCUCUGAACUGAAACAGUCCAUGCGUUCGAGAACUAACCUAACCUAGGUUCGAGAACCUUACCUGAGUGCUCUCCCUCUCAUUUUAUCUUACUUUCGUAUCUCUGUCACUCUAACGCUGCGCAUCAUGCGUGGAAACGGAACGCACCCUCUGUUACCUGAGUGCUGUAAGAAACACGCACACCAUCUAGAGGCAGAGUGACGGAGUAGUACAUAUUUUGCGAGUUCACCAAUGUAUAAGCAAGAGGUUAUGUAUGGUAGUGACACUGUAUAUUGUAGUUUUUUGAAAUUAGAGGUAAAUAUUUCAAUAUAAUUUAAUAUUAUCAUCUUUGUUAAUAAUUUUUUUACAUUGAAAUAUAUACCACGCUUGUAAUAUAAUAUUAGGGAGGCUAAAAGGAUUGUAACAAAGUUUGGUAAUAUAUCCAUUAUAUUUAUGUAAAAAGUAUAAUACGUUUUAUUGAAAAUAAAUUGUUCAGAAUUACAAUGUCUCAAUUAAAAAGAAGAAAAGACUUAAAGUUUAUGUCAAAGAGAAAUAUCUGAUGAAUUAUUCAGUCAGAAAUUCAAAGAAGUAGUGCUUUAGAUUUACACGGUGAACAUAAGCUAUAAUAUAGUAGACAAGACUGACUAUGAUACGAUAUUAAUUAAUAAUGAAGAUGACAGCAACUUAUUGACUUUUAACGUGGAAGCAGAUAAACCUGCAGAUCAAGAUGAUACUGUUAACAAUAAUGAAAAAGGAGAAGCUAGCAGAAUGGGCUGUUGACGCUAAUUCGCCUCAUAAUCAUCUACAUGAUUUAAUGAACUUAUUAAGAACAGUGAAUUCAUUGUCUGAACUACAAGAUCUUCCUCAACAUCCUCGAACAUUAUUGCAGACUCCUCAAUAAACAUUGAAAAGAGUUGUGACUCCUGAUUAUAAUCAUGACGGAGUUUGCAAUUGUUGAAUUUGUCGACGGUGUCCAAUUAGUACCCAAACUUUGGUUACAAAAUAAUGAUACUUGUUAUGGGCCAAAAUUACACAAUCAGUCUAAAUACUAUAAAUUAGUUGAAAAUAAAGAGCCGUAUAAUUUGCAAUGGGAAAAAUACAAUAUCAUAUCAGUUCUAGCAGAAACUGAUACGUUUCAGAAAGGACUCGCAAAAUUAAAAGAAUCCGAAAUCUUCACUGACAUUAAUACAGAUAUCGAUGAAAUAACUAGGAGAAAGAAGAGAAAAAGAAUCCAAAAAGGAAUUACUUCUUCUAGUGACGAAAAUUGCGACUAUAAUACAGAAAUGGAAAAAUUUCCUUCGCCUCUAAAACAGGUUAAUAAUAAAUCUAACAUCACUGUGUCUACACAUUUUUCAUCACUAAGAAGUCAUCAAUCUUCUUCAAAACCUCAAUGCCAUGAAACAAUAAAAAAGUACGAAGGUAUGUAAGGAGAUGUGUGAAGGCAAUUUAGAUAUUGUGUGGACUAUUAUUUAUAUAAUAUAAUCUAUUUUAAAUACAUAAUUAUUUUAAGUAAUAUCCCAGAUAGCCAAACCUGUGCGAGCAGAUUUUACGCAGAGUCUGUCAACAGUGUCUGUUGACAGAAUGGUAACAGACUG